GUCGAACGCUGGCGGCGUGCCUAAUACAUGCAAGUAGAACGCUGAAGGAGGAGCUUGCUUCUCUGGAUGAGUUGCGAACGGGUGAGUAACGCGUAGGUAACCUGCCUGGUAGCGGGGGAUAACUAUUGGAAACGAUAGCUAAUACCGCAUAAUAGUAGAUGUUGCAUGACAUUUACUUAAAAGGUGCAAUUGCAUCACUACCAGAUGGACCUGCGUUGUAUUAGCUAGUUGGUGGGGUAACGGCUCACCAAGGCGACGAUACAUAGCCGACCUGAGAGGGUGAUCGGCCACACUGGGACUGAGACACGGCCCAGACUCCUACGGGAGGCAGCAGUAGGGAAUCUUCGGCAAUGGACGAAAGUCUGACCGAGCAACGCCGCGUGAGUGAAGAAGGUUUUCGGAUCGUAAAGCUCUGUUGUAAGAGAAGAACGAGUGUGAGAGUGGAAAGUUCACACUGUGACGGUAUCUUACCAGAAAGGGACGGCUAACUACGUG
rnacentral:rRNA from 1 species